GUCGGCAGGGGAGGAAGAGAGGACCUGGGGCAACGCUCCGGCUCUCACGAGGGUGAACUCUAGCCCUGGAGCUACGGGCUAGAGUUCACUCUCACCACUUCCUGGUGGUCCCAGUAGUAGGAGUGAACUCUAGCCCCAUACACACACUGCCCCACACACACACCAUACACAUUCACACACUGCCCACACACACACACACCAUACACAUUUACACACUGCCCACCCACACACUGAACCUUUCACACACAU